rnacentral:tRNA from 1 species
GCGGAUCGUGGCCAAGUGGAUUAAGGCAGUGGAUUUGUGAAUCC